ensembl:snRNA U6 U6 spliceosomal RNA
GUGAUUCCCCUGCCUCCGCUUCCUCCCUAUAUAUUUUAGCACAUAUACUAAAAUUGGAAUAACACAGAGAAGAUUAGCCUGGUCUCCACACAAGGAUGUCACACAAAUUCAUGAACUGUUCCAUAUUAAA